UUUCGAUUUCCCAUACUAAUUAAUUUUUGUCAAACCUACUAUAUGUCAUUAACUUCAUUAGAAGCUCACCAUAUUCUCUGUCUAUUUAUUUGAACUCUGUUUUUUCCAUGCUCAAAUCACCUUUUGUAAAAACAUAUUUCAUUGGAGCUUGCGAUCUCAUGCUAGUCGAGGAUUGAGAAGACACUUGCUUGCCCUGUUUCCCAUGGACAAUAGGGAUUGAGACUUCAUAAAUUUGUGCUCUUGGCUUAGAGCUUGCUCAAAGGUAAGUGUCAAAUCUUUGCCAUGAAGGUCAUCGUAAUCCAUAAUAUCAUCAUCUGUCAUCAAGACUUUCUCACAGUCCACAAAUGACUGCCUAUUUUCUCCCGUCAUGACUAUGUCUUCAAAAUUGUCUGGAAACAUGUCUUCCCAAGUUGGUGGGACAACUUCAUCAGUAAACAAGUUGUCUUCUCCUUUCGGAAUUACAGGAGGUUCUACCACAUCAUUUGUUUCACCAUGCGGUGGAAUAGGAAGUCCAAACCAAUCCUCAAUGGUCGGACGUGGAAGAGAAGAGCCACCAACAAUGCUCACUUCAUCAGUAAUCUCUCAUUCCUCAAUCAAAUUGAUUUAGUUAUGUUUUCUACUUUUGAUUUGAUAAUAAAACCAAUAUUUGUGCAUUUUGUUAUCUUGAUUUGACAAAUUAGUAUAUAUUUUAGUUUAUUCAUAAACUUUCCAGUUUUGAUUUUUCAAUGGAGAUAAAAAAGAAGUCCAAACCAAUCCUCAAUGGUCGGACGUGGAGGAGCAGAGUCGCCAACAAUGUCCACUUCAUCAGUAAUCUCUCAUUCCUCCAUCAAAUUAAUAUAGUUAUGUUUUUACUUUUGAUUUAAUGAUAAAAUCGAUAUUUGUGCAUUUUGUUAUCUUGAUUUGACAGGUUAGUAUAGAUUUUAGUUUAUUCAUAGACUUUCCAUCUUUGAUUUUUCAAUGGAGAUAAAACAAAAGUCCAAACCAAUCCUCAAUGGUCGGACGUGGGGGAGCAGACCACCAACAAUGCUCAUUUCAUCAGUAAUCUAUCCUUUCUCCAUCAAACCAAUUUAGUUACGUUUUCUACUUUUGAUUUGAUGAUAAAUCCAAGAUUUGUGCAUUUUGUUAUCUUGAUUUGACAGACUAAUAUAGAUUUUAGUUUAUUCAUAAACUUUCCAGCUUUGUUUUUCAAAUAAACGAAAUGAUCAACAAGCUUGGAUAGACUCAACGCGUAAAAUUUAGCAAUGGACCGACCAAAGAGGUUUAAACCAACUUUACUUAAACUAGGUGUUCCGUCUGCGCAUGCGGGCAUAAACAUUCUAUAGCUACUUAUUAAUACAUGUAUAAUUAAUUUAAAAGCUAUAAAAUAAAUUACUAUUUAUGUUUUCAUUGGAAGAUUCUUACCUAUUACAAAUGAUUUUUGAAUUAUUCAGAAAAUUUCCAGCCAUGAUUUUCUCAAAUAAACAAAAUGAUCAACAAGCUUGUAUAUAUUCCACCUGUCAAAGUAACGGUGGGCCGACCAAAGAGAUUUAAACCAAUUUUACUUAAAUUAGGUGUUCCGUCUGCGGAUACGGACAUGAACAUUUUAUAAUCAUUUAUUAAUACAUGUAUUAUUCAUUAAAAACUAUUAAAAAAUUACUAAUUAUGCUUUUAUUUGAAAACUUUUAAGUAUUAUAAAUUUUUAUCUUUUUUAUUAAAAGAUAUGUUGGAAUUAUUCAGAAGUUUGAUUUUUUCAAAUAAACGGAAUGAUCAACAACAAGCUUCGAUAUACUCCACAUGUCAAAGUUAGCGUAGUGCCGGCCAAAGAGGUUUUAAACCAAUCUUACUUACAAAAAAAUUAAAUGUUAAAGUUUUUGUAAAGUAUAUUUAAGAGUAAUCUAUAAUGGUAUGGAGAUUUGUAGAAUACUUAAUAGUGAAGUUAAGGAGUAAGUUUAAAAAGGAGGUGUAAAGAAGUCUAGAGAAUUAUAUCUCAACUGUUGAUUCGGUUCGAUCUACACCGUCCGUUGACCAGGUGGAACUUGUAUAUAAAGGAGUGAUGCCCUCAUUUGUAAGAUAUCAAGCAAGUCAUAUAAAGGAGUGAUACUAUCAGGGAUAAUGAGAGAAUAUGAUUCCAAUUGGUUCGCAGGAUGGGAGAAAGAGCUUCCGUCACAGCUCCAGCUCCCGUCUUCACAAGCCAAUUCACGAGUCGUCUGGUCGCAGCAGCUACACGAACGCUUCCUGGACGCGGUGGAGCACCUCGGGAUCAACCAUGCAGUUCCCAAAAGGAUUAUGGAGUUCAUGGACGUCGAUGGGUUAACCAGAGUGGAAGUCGCGA